rnacentral:rRNA from 1 species
UACGUAGGUGGCAAGCGUUGUCCGGAUUUACUGGGCGUAAAGAGCGCGCAGGCGGUCGUUCAAGUCGAGUGUGAAAGCCCCCGGCUCAACUGGGGAGGGUCAUUCGAUACUGAUCGACUCGAAGGCAGGAGAGGGAAGUGGAAUUCCCGGUGUAGUGGUGAAAUGCGUAGAUAUCGGGAGGAACACCAGUGGCGAAGGCGACUUCCUGGCCUGUUCUUGACGCUGAGGCGCGAAAGCUAGGGGAGCAAACGGG